GAUUAUAAUGCUAAGCAUACAAGCUGGGGGUCUCGAACUGUGACAACGAAGGGAAGACAGUUACUUUCUUGCAUUGAACGACUAAGAUUAAAUGUUUGUUCAACUGGCGAGCCAACAUAUUGGCCGAGUGACAAAAGGAAGGUACCAAACUUGUUAGAUUUUUGUAUCACAAAAGGCAUCAAUAAUGCAUGUAUAGAGUGUACAUCCAGUUUUGAUCUCUCAUCUGAUCACUCCCCAGUCAUAAUAACGCUCAGUCGAAAUAUAGCCAGGAAAAUGAAAACAUGUAGACUGCAUUCUUGCAGGACCGAUUGGGAUUACUUUCGUGUAUUGGUAUCUGGCUCUUUGGACAUCAAUCUACCUCUAAAAACAGAGGAUGACAUUGCGGAUGGUGUUGAACAUUUUAACUUUGUUGUACAACAUUCUGCUUGGCAGGCGACACCCGCCCCACCAAUUGUAAAACCAUCGCAAUGUUCUCUUUCAAUCAAAACGUUGUUAUCAGAAAAAAGGCGAUUAAGAAAACGAUGGCAAACUGCGAGGCAUCCUGAACACAAAAAAAUAUUUAAUUAUAGUAUUACAAAAUUGAAAAUACAUUUGGCUCGUGAGAGAAACGAAAAAACAAAUACAUAUAUGCAAGAGCUGGAUGCCACAUCGAAAACAGACUAUUCGCUAUGGAAGGCUACCAAAUACCUUAAACGUCCUAUAAAACACCAACCUCCUCUACGGAAAUCUGAUGGAACUUGGGCCACUAGCGAUCUAGACAAAGCUAAGGCCUUUGCUGAACACCUGGAUAAUGUAUUUACACCAAAUGCGAUGGAUAAUUCGGCUAUGCCUUCCAAUGAAUCGGAAUUGAAUGAGCAUGUUAUUGAGGUUCCUUUCAAAAAAAUUAGUAAAUCCGAAACAAGAUCUGUCAUAAAGAAUCUUGACCCUAAUAAAUCACCAGGAUAUGAUCUAAUAACAGCAACUAUUUUAAAAGAGUUACCUCAAGAGGGAAUUACUUUCUUGACCCAAUUAUACAAUGCUAUUUUCAGACUUAAGUUUGUGCCUCACUUAUGGAAGGUAGCUCAAAUUAAGAUGAUACCUAAACCUGGAAAAAGUGGCGAGGACGUGAAAUCUUAUCGUCCUAUCAGUUUGCUCCCUGUACCGUCCAAGGUCAUGGUGACUCUGUUUCUCGCAAGAUUGAAUCCUAUUAUUGAAACGAAAAAACUAAUCCCAGAUCAUCAGUUUGGCUUUAGACGGAAACAUAGUACAAUCGAACAAAUUCACAGACUUGUUGAAUAUAUUAAUAGAGCUUUUGAGGGAAAAAAAUACUGCACGGCUGCCUUCCUAGAUAUAUCUCAGGCCUUCGAUCGAGUUUGGCAUGAAGGACUUUUACUCAAAAUUAAAAAGAAGAUCCCUUCCAACUUCUAUUUUUUCAUUGAAUCUUAUUUGAGUAGCCGAUAUUAUUUUGUUAAACACGGCGAUGAAAUAUCGCCUCUCCAUUCAAUUAAUGCCGGUGUUCCCCAAGGCAGUGUCAUUGGCCGCACUUUAUAUCUAUUGUAUACAGCUGAUUUGCCCGAAACUGAUGGUACGAUAAUGGGAACUUUUGCUGAUGACACCGCAAUAAUGACCAUGGACGAUGAUCCAAACGAAGCUUCUUAUAAACUACAGAACAGCCUUAAUAAUAUCAACACUUGGCUAAAAAAAUGGCGCAUCAAAGCGAAUGAAUCUAAGUCUGUACAAGUUACUUUCACCACUCGAAGACAAACUUGUCCUGCAGUCACCUUGAAUAAUAUAGAGAUCCCGCAAUCUGAAAAUGCAAAGUACUUAGGGAUGUACCUGGAUAGGAGACUGACUUGGAGAAAACAUAUAUUCACCAAGCGUCUUGCGGUGGGUCAGCAAAUACGUAAAUUGUAUUGGCUUCUUAAUAGAAAGUCUCAACUGUCAGUUGAAAACAAGCUUUUACUAUACAAAUCUGUUAUUAAACUCAUUUGGUCAUAUGGCAUCCAAUUGUGGGGUACUGCGUCAAACUCAAAUAUUGAAAUCCUUCAAAGAUUUCAAUCAAAAACGCUCAGGAUGAUAGUGAACGCACCAUGGUAUGUUACAAAUGAAAGAAUCCAUUAUGAUCUUGCCAUAAGAAAAGUCAAACAUGAAGUAAUCCAUCGAGCUAAAGCAUAUUGUGUAAGAUUGGAAGCCCAUCCGAAUAACCUUGCUAAGCAUUUAAUGGACAACCUAAUGACUACAAGAAGACUCAGAAGAAGAGUGCCUCAAGAUCUACUAGAUCUACUGUAGAUUAAUUGACAUGUCAAUGGACAUUGUGCAUGCACCGCCGAAAUUAUUUUUAUCAAAACUACGGUUGAAUGUCUUACGACAGCUUACUGUAUAGAAUAAAAAAAAAAAAAAAUUUUGUGGAGCUUCUCUGACCAAUCCGUAAUUGUCGGCUUAACAUAUUUUUAAUGGUGUUUGGCAUUUAAAAAUUUUCAAAUUAAUUUUCCAACAUAAAAUAAUGAUUAGAUAAAUUAACAUUGAAUCACUUGUAUGUAAAAUAUUGGCCUCUCCAACAUAUUAUUCAGUGAAUCUCCAAAAAAAUAAGAAUCCUCGUCUUACGAGAUUCCAACUUUAACAUAAACUCUUUAUUAUCCAACAAGCAACUUUAAUUCUCCUACGAAAUAAUAUUCGGCUUACGUACUCACAGACCGAAUAUGAAAAUAGAAUUAAAAUAGUUAAAUUUUAAAGAAAUUGUUAAAUUUUAGUAAAUAGGCAAGGGUGUUUCUAGAAGAUUCCCGUAUUUUUUUUUCUUUUGUAGGACCUCAGCACUUACUGGUUUUCACGAUUAGGAAUUUAUUAAAAAAAAUUAAUGAAUUUAAUGCGUCAGUUUCUGUAUAUGUCAGAAAUGUAACAUUGUUUCCUCAAUUGAUUUGUGCAAUUUGGUAUUAAUUUUACAUCUUAAGUUUAAAUGUAAGUAAUAAUAUGAAUGACAGCCAGAAAUUUAUAGACAAAGAUAUUUCGUUGCGAAAUAGCUACCUUCUGGAAUCCCAGAGCUUGGAAGAAGAUACAGACUUAAAGACAAAGUAUAAAACAUUUCUUUGGUUUCUAAAUUACGGUAAAAUAUUUGUGACUCGCCUAACCAAAGAUUUAAUUAUUUCUUUGGCUAGUUACGUUUACUCUGGUCAAUUAUUACCAAAACAUAUCACUGAUUUGAUGCACACUCAAAAAAUAUUACAAGCUGAACGUGAAUUAUUAACAGUCACAUAUAGCAGGUACAAAUUCAUAAAAGAUAUUUUCGUAAUACAACAAAUGAAUAUUAAUCGCGCUCAAUCUCUAUAAGAAUUUGUAUAAAUCGGCAAUCAAUAUCUCGGGACAAUAAGAGUCCAACAGAUGAACGUACGCUGUUCUGAUUUAUUGAACAAAUAAUUGCCAAUCUCUUGUUUCUAGUGAAAAUACAUGGGAGAUUGAUUUUUGUCCUUGGGAAAAUAUAAUCCAUAGUCCUAAAUUCAUUCCAGUGGAUUCUAAAAAUAUGAUAAUCGAUAAUAAUUAUGAAAAUUUCGUUGAUAAGCUGGAAAAGCUAACCAUAGGUAUGUAACCAAACAAAGCUAUCAUCGAUCACCCCGCCCAAAAGAAAGCACAAUCUAGAGCUGCUGUAUUUAUAAAAAAGGAUCAACUUGCAGAAUCGUCGCUAGAAAACGAAUUUUCGACCAACGAAAUGUUCAAUAAAAAUGAAAUAAAAGAAAACUCUUCUCUCAAUGACAAUCAAGAAAUCUUGAUCUUAUCAGAAGCUUCAAUGAGCUUAUCUGGUGUUUUUUCAUCACCCACCAUUUCGCAAGCGUCGCAAAAGUCUCCAACACAAGCAGCAGAUUCCUUAUUACGCAGUGAAUUGGAUAUGAAAUUAAGAAUAGCUCUAGAAUUCCUACAUAGAGAUAAUGAGUUUUUAAUCGCUGCAGAGCUUGGUGAUGAUAUAUUACUGGAUAAAUAUAUAAAGCAAGGCGAAAACAUUCAGCAAAUGGAUCAUCUUGGAAGAAAUGCGCUUCAUUUGGCUGUGUGCUCUGACAACGAACAUGCGAUUACUUUACUUUUAGACGCUGGCGUAAAUCCUAAUCAUAAGGAUAACGUUGGGAUGACGCCCCUUUCGCUUAGCCUUAUGAAAAGUCCGUCUUUGAAAAUUGCGAUGCUGCUGUUUGAUCAUGGUGCAAAAAUACUACCAAGAGUCGAGCCUACAGAUACAGGACUUUUUCUUCAGAUAAUUUUCUUAUCAUCGGACUCAGGAAUUACUCCUUCCACCUGACUGCUUCCGGCCGCAUUGAUAUACCACUCUUUAGGUUCCAAUAUGUUCAUCCGAAGCGGGCAGAGGCUCUAGUAGGACUGGACUUUGCGGACUUCCAUGGAAAUCGCGAACCCUUCGUGGACCGUAUUCACACAUUUUCCCGCCACCGCCACCGCCACCGAAGCAGUUCAUCCAUACUACCUAGAACCACAGCGCUCAUCCACAGUGCAUCUCCAGAGAUCUUUUAUGCCACAUAUCGUUUAUCAUUGAAGUGAACUCCCCUCCACGGUAUUUUACAAGCCAUAUGACAUAUACUUCUUCAAACGAGGCUUGCAGAGAGGUUUGCAGCAGCAUACAGCGGUUUCGCUCUGCCCUUGGCAUUGCUGACGUCCUUGAGUGACGGACGGCCAAACUCACCAUCAGUGGGUGGAUGGGUGGUAUUCUCGUCUGCUUACAUGGGACAAAAAAACGAGUCAUGGUGGCUAACAGCUCGUCACUAUUACUUUCAGAAUUUUUAAUGAUGUGUGAACCAUCAGAAGAAGAUGAGAAAAUAAUAAGAUUAAUGAUUGAAAAAGGCGCCUUGGUGAACGACCCUGAAGCACCAGGCAGACGACAAGCACUUCAUUUCGCAGCCAUGAGCAAUAAUUGUAAAUUAAUAAAGCUAUUAUUAAAUUUAGGAGCAGAUUUAAGUUUGACGAACCACAGAGACGAAACUCCCAAAGAAGUGGCAAAUACAUUUGGAUGUAAAGAAGCUUUUCAGUGCUUAAAAGAAUUGGACUGUGAUUUUGUACGCGAAUGUUUAGACACGUUGAACGAAAUUGAUGAAAUUAGCUAACACUGUUUAUUUGGUCAUUAGACUCUAAGCUAUUUAGUCGACGUUUUGUGUUCUUUUAAAAGCAAUAUAAUACUUUAAAAGA